ACCCGCUGAACUUAAGCAUAUCAAUAAGCGGAGGAAAAGAAACUAACAAGGAUUCCCCUAGUAACGGCGAGUGAAGCGGGAUGAGCUCAAAUUUGAAAUCUGGCUGGUUUACUAGUCCGAGUUGUAAUUUAAAGAAGCGUUUUCGGUGGCAGCCUGGGUAUAAAUCCUUUGGAAUAGGGUAUCAUAGAGGGUGAGAAUCCCGUCUUUGACCUAGUGCAUGCUACUAUGUGAUACGUUUUCAAAGAGUCGAGUUGUUUGGGAAUGCAGCUCAAAAUGGGUGGUAAAUUUCAUCUAAAGCUAAAUAUUGGCGAGAGACCGAUAGCGAACAAGUACCGUGAGGGAAAGAUGAAAAGAACUUUGAAAAGAGAGUUAAACAGUGCGUGAAAUUGUUGAAAGGGAAACGUUUGACACCAGUCAUGUGGGUGGAAAAUCAGUCUUUUGCAUUGGAGAGUUGUAAGGGUUCGGACCGCAAGGCCGGCUUUUGCUUCAUCUUUGGUGUAAGUGAUGCACUUUUUCAUCUACAGGUCAACAUCAGUUUCUUUUGCUGGACAAAACCCCGAGAGAAGGUAGCAGCUUAGGCUGUGUUAUAGCUCUGGAGCGAUACAGUGAAGGGGACUGAGGUUUUCGCAGCGUGUGCUCUCGGGCAAGGCUGGAUGGGUGCUACGGGAUCGUUCGGGGUACAAUGCCUGGCAUUUUGCUUCGUGUCUUUUCUAUACUCGCUCAACUCAGCUCUUCCACGCUUAGGAUGUUGACUUAAUGGUUUUAAACGACCCGUCUUGAAACACGG
rnacentral:rRNA from 1 species